UGACCUCAGCCGGGGGGAAAGAGUCACACUCACAGAAGAUGCCCAUGGUGCUGAGCCUACGAGUGAAGGCUGAGUGCCCCAGCGGUGCCCAGGUCUGCCAGCCUCGCUGUUGGGAUGCACGUGUCAUAUGCAGAGUGAUGUUUAUUCCAGGUGCGACAAAUAUGUAGCCACAGCAAGUUUUCCUCUAAAACUGUGAGAGUGUCAGAGGUCUCCCAGUGCGGGGGCUGAGACCGUUUUGUCUUCACAGUCCAGCCGCCCACACAUGUGCCCUGUCCCUCCCUCAGCAGUGCUUGCCUUCCCUAGAAUGGGGGAGGCACCAUCUUGAGAUCAUACUGCCUUGCUUCGCAUUGCCCCAGCCUCUAGCAAACCACAGCCACGUCGUGCACCCCAACAACUGGGGAAAGGAAUGCCCACUCCAAUGUAUAGGGGGAGAGUGGGAUGAGCUUAAUGAGGAACUAAACCCAGAAUACCGUCUGGGAGCCGAGGUCUGUAUCCCAUGGAACUAAGAACGACUCCUAUUCAGUGAGCUGCAGGCCCAGCGUUUGGUUGGAACCUCUGUGAGGAAAGAGCAAAGAGCGGGCCAAGCAGCUGCUGUAGUAGAGGGUAAGCAUCUUACACCUGCUGUUGUCCCUGCCCAAAUCUCAUUCCUGAGCUGCUGAUGCAAGAAAUGGAAAGGUUCCAACUCUUCCCAACACAUAUUAAAAUAUAUGAUGCAGAAACGAA